rnacentral:rRNA from 1 species
UACGUAGGUGGCAAGCGUUGUCCGGAUUUACUGGGCGUAAAGAGCGCGCAGGCGGUCGAAUAAGUCGAAUGUGAAAGCCCCCGGCUUAACUGGGGAGGGUCAUUCGAUACUGCUCGACUUGAAGGCAGGAGAGGGUAGUGGAAUUCCCGGUGUAGUGGUGAAAUGCGUUGAUAUUAUGGGGAACACCAAAAGCGAAGGCAGCAGACUGGAGCACUCCUGACACUGAAACAAGAAAGCGUGGGUAGCGAAUGGG